rnacentral:rRNA from 1 species
UACGUAGGGUCCGAGCGUUGUCCGGAAUUAUUGGGCGUAAAGGGCGCGUAGGCGGCUGUGCAAGUGGCGGGUGAAAAUCCCUCGGCUUAACCGAGGAACUGCCUGCCAGACUGCACGGCUCGAGACCGGGAGAGGUGAGUGGAAUUCCCAGUGUAGCGGUGAAAUGCGUAGAUAUUGGGAGGAACACCAGUGGCGAAGGCGGCUCACUGGACCGGAACUGACGCUGAGGCGCGAAAGCGUGGGGAGCAAACAGG